GUUUGGGUACUCCAUCACUUUUUUCAUCUUUAAAAUGAAGCUGCUGCCAGGCAGUGGUGGCACAUGCCUUUAAUCCCAGGCAGAGGCAGGUGGAUUUCUAAGUUCGAGGCCAGCCAGGUCUACAAAGUGAAUUCCAGGACAGCCAGGGCUACACAGAGAAACCCUGUCUCAAAAACAAAACAAAAACAAAAAUAAAAAUAAAAACAAAAACAAACAAAAAAAGAAGCUGAUAAUCCUUUUGUGAGAGAAUAUUUUUAAGAGAAAGGUAACAGCUCUUAGUAUUUAUUAUUGUUCGAGACACCCCACAUUAAGCUUGAGAUGCCUGGGAACCCUGGUGACAAGGAAGAAUAACCUGCUGGGUUACUGUGUUUCAGAGCGUGAGGCCAUGGCCUCUUGUGGGCCCCAAUUUAAGUACUGAGUGGCCCCAAGGCCUGCUUCUUUGGCUCAAGCAACUCAUGAUGUCAUUUCUGCAAUUAUUCUUAGUAUUUUUUUUAUCUAUUUACUAUUUCCUUUCUCUCUCUCUCUCUCUUUCUUUUUUGAUUGAUUGAUUGAUUGAUUGAUUGAUUGAAUUUGGUUUUUUGAGACAGGGUUUCUCUGAGUAGUCCUGGCUAUCUUGGAACUCACUCUGUAGACCAAGCUGGCCUCAAACUCAGAGAUCCAUCUGCCCCUGCCUCCCAAGUGCUGGGAUUAAAGGUGUGCACCACCACUGCCUGGCUCUUUCUUUCUUUCUUGAGUAAACCAGUAUUUAGUGACCUGGCAAGAUCUAGUAGGAGCCUGUUUGAUAUCCAGAAAUUAGAUGUUACCAAUAAUAUUAAAGUGAAGGCUAUUCAUGAAUUCAAGAGAAAUGUAUGUCACAGUCAUUCGCUCUAAGUGGAAAUGAAAGUAACCUAGAGUCACAGGCAGAGAUGAGUAAUUCUGCAGCUGUUGCCCCAGUCUUAGUUUCAAUUCUGUAUAAUAAAAAUAAGAUAUUUUUGUUAUAAACUUGAGUAUGGAAUAACAUACAGAUAGUUCCCAGAAAGUUAGCAAUGGGUUCCUUGGGUUUAAGGACAAUGGUGGCAGCCCCCUAGGAAUUCUCUAUACAGGUUAGUUGAGGAUGAUUCUGUAGACAGACAGAUGGGGUCCAAAAAUUAUAAAGACUGCAGGGUCAGCAGUAUGACCUCAUGUUUGCCCUUUUAUGAAAUGGUAUUGUCUCACAUAUGUCUGAAAGAUACUGAUUUUGUAGCCACAAUACUGCUACCCCCAACCUCACCAGAGACUGGUGGUUGGGACAUAUAAAAAAUUUGUGCUUGCUAUAAAAUUUUUGUGUCUGAGAUUGUAUGGUUCCAUUUUUUCUUUUCUAAAUCUGUAUUACUUUGUGUCACAAGAAAAUGUUGGCACAAAAAAAUAGAGAAGCAUUUAUCAACCCCCAUGUGAAUUUUGUAAUCCAAUUUCCUUGUAUGAUUUCAAUAGAAGACUGGGACUGAGUCAAGUCUAGAAGAGCACCCUGACUCCCGAGUUCAAGGACUCACAUGCCAAAACACCAGCCUGUCAGUAUUGCAUCUCAGUUGUGUGUUUUCUUAUUGACCUACCAGGUAUCCUGAGUCCUUGACAACACCCAACUCUUGUCUAGGCUGGACCCCAGCAUAUUAUCACUGUUUUCUUAUGAAAGUACUAGAAAUCAAAGCGUUUGGGUACAGGAUGUGCUGUAUUCAAGGCACUUCCUAAAAACCCUCGGCAGCUCUACUAAGGGCUCAGUCAUUAGAGUGUCAGCCAUGAGAGCUGGAAGACCUGAGUUGGAUCCCCAGAACCCACAUAUGAAGCAGAGCUUGGUGGUACUUUCCUGUAAUCCCAGCCACUGGAGGUGAGAUACAAAUGUAUCCCUAGGGCUCCUUGAACAGCUAGCAUCCAGGCAAGUGAGAAACUGUCUCAAAAAAUAAGGUAACAUGGGAUUUUUUUUUUUUAAAGAAAGAAAGGCAUAUGGAAAAACAACUCACAUAAAGUGAGCACCCUUCUAAAGUACACACUGAAGUGGUUUUUAGUAUGUCCACUCACCCUUACCUAAAGGAAAUCCCAGGAUUUACAUCUUGUUGGUUUUUACUCAAACCUGGGAAAUCUUGAAGUGGCUCCCUGCCCAGAUGUAUCUGGAUAUUCCAGGUGUUUCAUGUAAACAGUUGUACAAUGGACACAAAUCUUUGAAUAGACUGGUUGGACCCUCUUGAUUGUGUGGCAACUUCAUAUUUAACUUUUUAAGGAAGUGGGGAUAGGUUUAGCAUUUUACAUUUUUCUUCUUCCCUUCCUUCCUCUGUCCCUCUCUUCCUUUCUUUCUAUACCAGCAGUGGGCUCAUGUUUCCCCAUAGGUUAAUCAACACCUGACCAGCUUUUUCAAUGAAGCCAUCCUAGAGAAAGUGUGAAUACCAUCUCCCAGAGGAUCUGUGUGAAUGUCUUGAGGGACGAAUAAAUUAAAAUUCUUUAACUUUUACAUCUGUAUUGUUUGUCUUCGUGGGGCUGUAAGAGUUCUUAGUGUUUCUGAACUCUUAAGUCUAAUGGGUAAAUUUCUUGUGACUGUCUUAUUUGGUGGAUCCUGUUUUCAUUUGCUUGAUACUACACUGCCAGACACAAGGUUUUGUAUUUCAAUGAGGUCCAAUUUAUUUAUUUCUUUUUAUUGCUUCAUAUGUCUUUUCUAAGAAAGAAAAAAGGCCUAGCCCAAGAUUAUCAGAAUCUGUACUUUUUUUAAAAAAAGAUUUAUUCAUUUUAUAUAUUGUAGCUGUCUUCAGACACACACCAAAAGAGGGUAUCGGAUCCCAUUACAGAUGGUUGUGAGCCACCAUGGGGUUGCUGGGAAUUGUACUCAGGACCUUUACAAGAACAUUCAGUGCUCUGAACUACUGAGCCAUCUCUCCAUCCCUAGACUUAUUUUUCCUAAGAAUUUUCUAAUCUUACUUCUUAUAUUUGCAUCUCUAGCUCAUUUUGAAUAGAUGUGUAUUCUUUUUGAACAUAUAUUUGGAAUACACACACACCUAAUGAGAAUGAUGUCAACUAAGGGUCUACAUGCAUUCUUAUACAUGAAUAUUCCAUUGUCUUACACAAUCUGUUGAACUGAAUUGUUCUGGAAUCCUGUCAACACCUUCAUUCCUACAUUAAAAUGAAUGCCAAUUCUUUAUGAAUCAAAAAUGAGGGAGUUGAUUGCUAGUUGUAUUGUCUUCCAAAUGAUUGGACUAAAACAAUAUCUCUAUUGUCUCAUCUAUAAAGAGAUAGGAAUAAUAUCUUAUUGUAUCCUUUAAUGUAUAUACUACUUAGUAAAGACAGAGGCCUAGCUCAGUUUUUAAAAAGAAAUCACUGGUAUGUUGAUCCACAAAUAAGAAAUAAUAUUAUAUGUUAAUUAAAAACAAAAUCUUGAGACGUAUUCAUUUAUUCAUCUGUCUAUUCAAGAAAACUUACCAAGUGCCUUUAUU
rnacentral:lncRNA from 1 species